rnacentral:lncRNA from 1 species
GGCAUAGUUGUUUUGCGGGAAACUUUGGUGCUCUGGCUAGACAUGGCUUAUUUUUUAUGUUUGAACCGUGGAUGCUGUUUUACUGUACCUAUUUACCUCAUAGAUCGUGUUGUGAGUGCAUUGUGGUAGACUUAUCAGAUGGUGGCGACAUAUAUUCGUUAAAGUGAACAUAUAAUAAUCUAUAUAGAUUUAUUUUGGACAUAUGUCUUGUGGUCUGGUGGUUAUGGUUAUCUGUUGUUAUGCCUCUGUGUUUUAUAUUACUGCAUCAUGUUCAGUUGGUGUUCACUUACAUUUUGCUGGAAUCACAUGCUCCAUGCUAGCCGGAGAAACCAUCAUGGAGAUUGGAAAUAAGGUGAGCUUCCCUUGCUCUUUUAUAUAUAGGCCUAUUUGAUUCAAAAAGAUUUUCAGAGAACUUUUGGAGGAUCAAAACCUUUAGCAAUUUUUCUUAUACAUGUUUUUUGAUUGGUAGGAUUGAUUCUUUUAAAAAGUUCCCUAGGCCUUGUUCGGUUACACCCCCUCCCAAGGGGAUUGUGGCAGACUUAUCCCUGCCAACCGAACAGGGCCAAAAGGUUCUUUUGUACUCCCUUCGUUCGGAAUUACUUGUCUCGAAAAUGUAUGUAUCUAAAACUAAAAUAUGUCUAGAUACAUCCAUUUCUGCGACAAGUAAUUUCGAACGGAGGGAGUUCUCAAUAGGGUAUUUAGGAGAGUGACGGGGAGAGCCAGGAACGCGCAGGCCCUCCCUCCCGCUCGCCCCCCGCGAGGCGACGGGAGGAACCCUAGCGCGCUGCCGCCAACUCCUUCCCCACCCCUCCUCCUCCCUCGCUGCCGCCAGAGGGCGCGGCCGGGCGAAGCCUGGCCGGUGCCGGCGGCGGCGAGGCCUCCUCGUCUCCCCUCCCAGCGGCCUUGGCGUGGGCCGACGCGGCUGGAUCGGGGUGCCUCGCUAUCCCAGGGCGAGGCGGCGCGGCGGAGUGGUGAUGGCGCUGCGCGUGGCGGUGGCGCGACGGGCCGGGCGUCGAAGGACNNNNNNNNNNNNNNNNNNNNNNNNNNNNNNNNNNNNNNNNNNNNNNNNNNNNNNNNNNNNNNNNNNNNNNNNNNNNNNNNNNNNNNNNNNNNNNNNNNNNNNNNNNNNNNNNNNNNNNNNNNNNNNNNNNNNNNNNNNNNNNNNNNNNNNNNNNNNNNNNNNNNNNNNNNNNNNNNNNNNNNNNNNNNNNNNNNNNNNNNNNNNNNNNNNNNNNNNNNNNNNNNNNNNNNNNNNNNNUGGCGGCGGGCGGAUCUGGCGUGACGGCGGUCGCGUUGAGGCAGGGCGUCGGUGGCGGGCUCCGGUGGCCUGGGCCGGUUCCUGGCUGGGCGCUGCGUUGGUGUGGGUCGCGGGCGACAAGGAUCUGCGGGCGGCCGCCCCUGCCCUGGCUUCGGGCUGGUGGGGGUGGCGGCGCAGUGGUGGUGGCUGGCGGGGCGUGUUGGCCGAUUCUUCCUGGUCGGGCGCUCGGACGUCGGCGGACGGCGCGAGGAGACAUCUCCGGUGAGCUCUCAUGGCUGCAGCUGCGGGUCGGUUUGGUCUCCCUCGUCGGCGGGCUCGCGGUUGCCGAUGGCCUCGCGGAGAUGUGUGUCAGCUACCAUGGUGGGGCGACAUGGGGGUGCUCGCGGGGGAGCUUGGUAGGAGGGAUAGGUGGCCUCGAUGCGGUCGUGCCACCUGUCGCCGGCACGGUUUGCCGGUCCGGAUGCGUCCGCUCCUCCUUCUUCCCCUUUCUCCUUGUUCGACGGGGAGCUUGGUUGGAGGGAUGGGUGGCCUCGAUGCGGUCGCGUCACCCGUCGCCGGCACGGUUUGCCGGUCCGGAUUCGUCCGCUCCCCUUUCUCCCCCUCUCCUCAGCCGCGGGCGGGUUGGCGCAGGUUUACCAGCGGAGCGUCUGUGGGUGGUUCCGUCGGUCGAGGGCCAUCGGUUGGUCCAAAGCUGGGGCCUUUGUGUAGGUCUUGGGGUUGUCUAGUUGCCAGGGCGGCGGCUCUGGCGGCGGGAGGCGCGACGUUCGUGGGCGUAGUGUGCGUCUCAGGUGCGGGCAGGCAACCAUGGCCGCGUGGGUGGCGUGGUUGCGGGUGGUUGGCGGAGUUCAGGUUCAACGGUGGGGUGUGAGUGCCGGGGUACACCACCUGUCCAGUACUUUGACUGGCCGACGAUGACGGUGGCCUUUGCCGCCGUACCCUUCCUGAAGGCUCCGUCGCGGCGUUUCCACUCUUGGCGUUUCCACUCUUGUCGUCUUGCUCCGGGUAAAAACCUGAUCUUCGCUGGUCAGGCGAUGGCGGCUAUCCAUGGUUGUAUCUUUCUUGGAGGCACCGCUUUGGAGGCCUGGCUUCGUUUUGGUCCGGUUCACCUCUCUAUUGGUAGUCGGUGGGGUGGUGUGUCGGUGCCUGGCACCUUUGUAUCUUGCUCUUGCCUUGGGUGUGUGCGGUGUGUGCGUUGUUGUUCGGUAUCUCGGUUGUACUCGGCGAUGUUUGCUUUAUAAUAUAAAGCGGGGGAAACCUUUUUUCGGCAAUAGGGUAUUUAGCAUCUACUCAAACCUCUUCUUGGAAGAAAACCUUCUUUUUCUCAAACUACAUUUCAUAGGAAAUUUAGUAUCCAUUCAAUCUUAUAAGUUAGAAAAAUAAGAGUAUCCAUUCAAACUUUUUAGAAAAGUUCUCUGUUUUUCCUCAAACAAACCAAAAGGCCCUGACAUACAUUUACGAGGUACACUUUUGCAAAGAUAAACACCACUCGCCAUCAGACACAUACACAUUAUGUUUUAGCCUCUUGAUUGAUUCAUCUGAAGCUUCUGCCUCUGCUCCUGCCGAUGUUCUCCACGAAGCCCUCCCCGAUCCCCUCGCCGAUGCCCUCGAUGAGGCCGCCGAUGACGCUGAAGAGCGCGUUGAUGGUGACCUUGGCCACGGCGACGAGCGGGUUGCUCUUCUCCGGCGGCACCACGCCAUGCUCGUAGAGCCCGUUCACCAUGUCCUUGGCGCACUUGGCGUGCAGGUAGUACCCGCACGGCAUGCACUGGUAGACGCGCCCCGACCGCCGCCUCCGGCACACCUGGCACACGAAGCUCGUGGCCACGCCGGCGCCCGCGCCCGAGUCCGGCGCCAGCAGCAGCGGGUGGGCGUGCGCCGGGAGCUCCAUCCGGCGCGUCAUGGCCGCGCAGCAUGGGUGCACGUCGAAGCUGCAGCACGCGCACCGGUACGAGAAGCCCUUGACCGGCUUGCCGCAGAUGUCGCACUUGCACCGGAGAAACCCGCCUGAUCAAAACGCAUGCAUCUUCGUCGUAAGUAGAGGCUGCGUGCCUGCGUGCUCGGUUGUGUGUGAUGGAUGGUUCGUCGCCAUUACCUGGCUUCUCGAAGAAGAGGAGGUGCUGGUGCUUGGGGUGGAAGGGGUGGUCGUGGAGCGAGGGGGGAGCCAGGGCGCAGAACUCGUGCAGCUGGAAGCCGCAGAUCUGGCACAUGAACCGCUUGCCGGCGCCGUACUCCUUGCAGCCCAUGCACAGGAAGAGGUACGGGAAGUCGAACCGGGCCAGCCGGUGCUCCGGGUGGCUGAAAUGCACCAUCUCGCCGUCGCCGCCAUCGCCGCCGUGCUCCGGCUCGUGCUGCUGCGGCUGGCUCUGGCCCGUCUCAGGACGAACGCCAUCCUCCGCCGCCAGCUUGCCGCUGAGGUUUCUCGGGUUCAUGGACACGCACCUGCUCAUGUCGCCCGCUCCAGAGUACAUGCAUAUUUUGGGCAUUGUGCCUGAGGCCAUAUAUGGAAGGCCGAAAGCUUGAGCGGGAGGCCUCUCCAUGGACCAUGGCGUUGCUGUUGCACUAAAACUACAGCUAGCACUGCUGCUGCUGCUGCAGGAGCAGCAGCCUUGUUACACAAUGCGGUAAAGCCAGCCAGGUUCUGAUGCUUGUGUGAGGGACAAGUCUUAUCUCCUGUGAUUGACUGACCGAGGAAGUUACAGCAUCAAGAAAUCUCGUUUUGCUUUCGCAGCAUCUAGUUCCUGAUCGGGGUUCAGAAAGCCAACCGGGCUAUGUAAGUAAGAUCAUAAACUACCGGUGGAGUAACCAGACGUGAAAAGAUCUUCCUGUGCCUGACAACUCUGAUGAACCAGACAUGCACUUCUACCUCAUUUCCUUAUUCUAUUUCCACAGACGUGAAGUUUGAUAUCUUCUGUUAUUCAUAUUUCAUUUCACUAAAGUAUAAACGGAAUGAAAACAUGGAAACGGAAACAGAAUUCUUUUGGGACGGAAGCAGAAUCGGAAAUGAGAACAGAACCGAAUGAUGUUUCUCCGAUAAAACUCAUGUGGAAACAGAAUUUCAGUAUCCUCAAAUGCGGAAAUUUCCGUCUAUCUUCUUUCUGUUCUAGCCUGCCCAACCUAUCUCCUUACUCUCGUGAUUCUUGCCCCUGGCUCCCCCCUCCCACUUUUAUCACCCCCCCACCCCCCCAACCCCAACACCUCCCACUUUCAUCUUCCACCUCUGCUUAUGGGUGCACAAUUGAACAAGUUUGUUGGUUUCGUUUUUCUAUAUGAUUCUAGUGGUUUUUGAGUUCCGACAAACUUCAUUUUUGUAUCCGUGUCUGCGUUGCAUGGUGUUCGCUUUGUAUCAGUUUCUAGCAAUACCUGCUCAUUGGUGGGUGAUGAAUCUGGUUGCUAGUCUGUUCAAGUGGGGAUGGUGUGGCAGUGACAUCCCUAUGGUGGACUUGUGUCCUCGGCGCGGAGCUCAGGAGGUGGUGGUACAGGAGUGGAUGCAGAUUAUGAUCUGUGUCGACGACAACUGGAAGACGAUGGUUCAUGUGCUGGGUUCGUGGUUGGUGGCUGACAUGUAUAGUUUCCUCCUUUGACAUCAUCGUCAAGCGGGGAUGCUAGAUCUAAAGUUCGAUGGCGUAUUCGGAGUGCUUCCCUGACCAGAGUCUUUCAACAACAACUGCUUCACCUUUGUUAAGCUGCUUUGAAGGUCCGAAAAGCCGCAUAUCAGCGAUGGAGCUGCGUCGAGCUCGUGUGAAGAGGUCACCUGCCACAUUUUUUGGUGGCUGUUGUGGUGGUGCCGGAGUCAGGUGACAGGAGUUGACGUAAAGCUCAAGGGAUUCUUUGCUCAUGAUAGUAUUUUGUCUUAUUGGCUGGUGGUCCUUUGUGCAAAGACCAGAGUUUUACUGUCCUUUCAGUUUUUCGAAGUCAAUGUUUUAUCGUGGCUUGUAACUUGAUAUUUAUUAUAUGAAUGAGACCCAUAUUACCAGACAAAAAAUAUAUUCGUUUCCGCUUCUAAAAGAUACACAAGCAAAUGAGGCAGCACCGAGCUCCGCAAGUUUUCUACUCGGUUUUCACCCCUUUCCAUAAUUAUCCGCUCAACACCGACAUCUUGUACCUAAACGUUUCGAACCAAAGAAACUUGGUGCUCAUCUCUCGGUGAAGCAGUAUGAUCGGUCAGGCAAUGACAGUUUUGCACAUACGAUUUACCUAGUCUACACAAAAUAUAUUUCACAAAAUAGGAGAAAUGAUGAGGAAAAAUGUAGAAAAGUAAUAUUUUGAUAGAACAUAUAGAUUGGAAUCUAUUUGGAUUAACAUUAUGAAAAUUGAGAAGAAUGAAAAAUACAAAUAACUAAUGAAUAAAUGUUUUUCGUGGGGAAGUAAUGAAAAAGGUUAUUCGAGAAAGUCACAAAAGAUUUAAAAGAAUUGAGGGAAAAUCAUAGCAUUAUGCUCAUUAUUAUUCUUAAAUUUUGCGAUUUUGUUCCAAUUUUAAGCUUUUGGAAUACUUAUGAUUUUUGCCUUUACUCUAAAUUUCACUUCUAAGAUUUUUUUCUUGAAUUUGUUUCAACCAACUUUCUCAUGUUGUGUUCUUCUGAGCUUGGUGGCGGACCUAGAGGUUGAUUAGUUGCGGUGCCAAUCUUAGCAAAUCACAAUGUAACAUUAUGAACUAGCAUUUUAUGGCAUUUUAAUUACUACCAAGUGAACAAAAUCUACAUUCUUAGAGGGGGGAGGAAGUGUCAGGCACCACCAGCAGAUCAGCUCAUGCCCACAUGUCCGUAGGUACAAUCAUCCGGUGAACCAUACAACUUUGGGUGGGGUCAGAAAUCAAAUUUGGUCGAUUUCAAAAGCUUGGUGUUCAAAAUGUGGCUACUAAGUUCUAGUUGGAUGCUUAAAAGAGUUAUCUUGUGUGGUGACUGGUCUAUAAAGGAGUCCAGUUUAACUAUAUGCAAGUUACCUGAUUUUUAAAUUUGGGUAAGUCAACUUUUUAAACAUUAUAGGUGAGUGUAAAUGUAUACACACAAGUACUAUAUAAUAUAUGUGUACUAUACAGUAUGUGUGUAUAUUAUAAUAGAGUGUGAAAACUUGCACAAUUUUUUUAGAAAUGGAGAAGGACCCCCGUGCUCUGCAUGUGGACGAGGCAUGCAGCCACUUUAUUAAUUAUUCACACAAGACCUUACAAAAUUAUACAAAAAUAAGACUGAAGCCAUCGUCUAGUCUAGGCAACAUCUGUCGCUACUCCUAUCUAUCUAGUUGAUUAAAGGAUGCUGAUAGUCUAGGACUAAUACCAAAACAGACCUUGCAGCCAAACCUAACAUCUAAGAUCUGAGAUCCCAACCAGGACGCCUGCCGGGUAUGGGGCACCCAUCAGUCCGGCGCACUCCUCAACCUGGACGCCUGUCGGGUAUGAGGCCGCCGCAGCCACUUGCCACCAAUCCAUCUUUAGUGCUGUACCGCUGCAUGUACCUUGCUCGGUUUAGCUGCCGUCGACGCUAGACAACGCCACCAUCCUGUGCUCGUCCAUCAUCACACGCCCACCGGUGAGACCCCGCUGCUCCAUGCCGCUGAGACCCGCCGUUGUCGACGUGUCAGAUACCACGCCACUCCUCCUCUUGUCCCCUCUAGUCAACACUUGCUUCAAAACGAUGCCCCCAGAAGGGAGAACGACAUCGAAACGUCGCCAUCGUCCGAUCCGGUCGAUCCAGAUCUAGGGUUUCCCUCGGAACCUUCUGAUCAGGUUGACGUGACCUACAAUGAUGAUGCCUCGAGAAGGGAACGACGUCCGAGACGCCGCCAUCGUCCGCCAUGACCGCAGUCAGGCACGAUUUUCACUGGAAGCCACGUCGCCCGAUCUCGCGGUUGGCUAGAACAGAGCGGAGUCUCGCCACGAAGACGAACGCCGACGUCGGUAAACCGGCCAAGAUCCGGCAUCUCCUCACCGUUCCCUCAAUGCGCCACCGGUCGGCUGAAGGCCACCGCGCGGCGGAUCCGAUCGGGGUUGGAUCCGCAGUCGCCGCCGCCACCAUCUCCGCGCAGAUCAAGCACCCCGUCAGGUGUGGCGCUGCCACCGCCGCCAUCCAUCCAGGGCCUCCGCUCCGCCGGCUUAUGGCGCUUCGGCCACCGCCGCAUGGCAAGGGAUCGCCGCCCGAGCCGCCGCCUUCGGAUCCCACGAGAAGGGCCACCCCUGCCGCCUCCGAUGAGAUCUUGUCGUGUCCACCCGCCCUGGUGCCUUUGGCACCAGGCCCGCCACCAUCGGGGCCCUCGCCGGCGGUAGCGGUGGCAGACGGAGGCGCGGGAGGAGGCCUGCGGCGCUAGGGUUCGGGGGCCCCUGGCGUCGCCUAAGGGGAGGCGACACAGGGGGGGGGGGGCGCCGAUGGUGCUGGUAUCAAAAGAGAUAAUAUGCUCAUUCUUUGCUACAAAAAGUGCACUCAUAGUGCAAAAGUGCAAAGUUGUGUGCAUGUUUUUUUAAGUACAUUUUUAUAUUUUUUCUUCUUAAAGGGUAAUAGCAGCUUUACUAAUUCAUUCUUCCUUAGAAAGCUUUAUUUAGAGUUUAUUUGAGUUUCUUAUUUCAUCUCGUUCUUCUUUAAGGCUAAUAGCAAUGCCACUAUUUCAUUACUUCCUAGGAAACCAUUUUCUUGAAAAUUACACUAUUACAUGCAUAUUACAAAAAACCCCGCAAUUUUUGUGCAAUUUUUGUCAUUAUUUGUUUUAUUUCUCAUAAAGGGCAAAAACAAUGCUCUAAUUUAUUCUUUCUUAGAAAACUUCACUAUUUUGAUUCUAUUUUAUUUCUUCUUCUUUUAAGGGCAAUACCAAUGCCGCUAAUUAAUCCUUCCGAGGAACUAACUUUUGCGAAAAUUCCACUAUUAUAUACUUAUUACUGUAUAUUAUAAAAAAACAUUUUCUAUGUAAAUUGUGUGAAAUUUGUUAUUUUUUCAUUCAAUUUAUUUUUAAAGGGCAAUACCAAUGCCACCGAUUCACUCUUUUGUAAAAACUUCAUUAAUUUUGUAAAAACUUCAUUAACAAAAUGCCAUUAAUCCACUCCUUAUUCGUAAGCUUUGUGUGUGAAAAUUGAACUAUUAUAUGCUUAUGCUUGCAUACUAUCGAAAAACAUAAUUAAUGAGAAAAUUUUGUCUUUAUUUGUUAUAUUUUUUCUCUUCUUAAUGGGUAAUACUAGUGCCAACAAUUCAUUCUUUCUUAGAAACUUCUUAUUUUUACUUUGUUUCAGUUUUUUAUUUCUUUUCUCAGGAAACACCAACGCCACUAAUUUAUUCUUUCUUAGGAAGCUUUUUGUUUGCAAGAAUUCCACUGUUAUUUGGUUGGUCUUGCAUAUUAUAAAAACACUUUUUUCCUUAUUUGUUUUGAUUUUCACAUUCUAUUUCUUCAUAGAGGGUAAUACCAAUGCCACUAAUUCAUUCUUCCUUAUAAAACAUCUUUUUUUCCAGUCUUUUGUCUUACCAGGUUCAAGUAUAUUUCACACCAAGCCCAAGUAUGAGGUGGCCUUUUAUUUUGUGGCUGCAAAGUCUGAGUUUGUAUUUUAUUUUACUUAUGUCUUUGGUCAUUGAUGCUUACUUGAUUUUUUUCGUUGGAUUUUCUCCAAUGUAUUUGUGUGCUCGACGUACAUCUUGCCAAUAAUAUCUAUUACACACGUGCGUUUUGUGCUAGACUGUGUUUAUUUUGGUGCUCGAUGGCAUACAAUUGCAUGAUGUGCCAAAAGGUUUAUAGACUAUACAAUUAUAUUUUUUCCACUUAUCACCAAGUUAACUAGUCUAUACCUAUAAAGCAUAAAAGUCAGAUAGUUCCCCGUGAACAGACUAUGAAUAAUUAGGGACCAACAUAUGGUUAGGAUGGAGGUCUUUAACAGAAGGAUCGAUCCCCAGUUCAGAUCCAAAGUUGCGUGCCUUUAAUCCAUACCAUACGCACAAACGUAAUCUCCUCAGCACAAGAAAAAUAUUUAUCAAAAAACUAAAUCCAGGCAUCUCACUCCUAGCCACCCCCAAAGAGUCCACUUUAGCUAUGAGUAAGUUGCCUGAUUUUUAAAUUUGGACCAGUCGAUAUUCUUGACCAUUGGUCGAUGCUUUAAGAUUCGUGCUCCUUGUUUUUUCUUGUGUGUGAUGUCAUGUUUGUAACGAACAUUUUUGACUGACCGCUAUUUUGGGCUAGUCGAUUCCUUAUUGGGGAUGAAGCCCGUUACACAUUUCCUUAUGUUGCCUGCUUGUAGGCCAACAAAGCUUCUUUUGUUUUUUAGUCGAUUUUUAUGGGUAUUGGGGAGAUAAGUGCGUGUGUGAGUCAAAUGUAUACAAAGAAGUACUGUAUGACAUGUGAAUAAAGUAUACUAGAGUGUGAAAAUUGCACUAUUAUAUCCUUAUUUCUUACAUAUUACAAAGUGCAAUUUCAGUGUAAAGUUGCGUGAUUUUUUUAAACUUUUUUCCAUUCUUACUUCUUAAAUGGUAAUACCAAUGUCUCUAAUUCAUUCUUUCUUGAAAAACUUUAUUUUUAUAUGUUUAUCUAUUUCCUUUCUUCUUUAAGGGUAAUACCAAUGCUACUAAUUUGUUUCUACGUAGGAAACUACUUUAUUUUUGCGAGUUUUCACUAUUAUAUGCUUAUUCUUUCAUAUUAUUAAAAAUUGUUUUUUGUAAAUUAUGUGCAAACUUUGUCAUUAUUUGUUUUUUUACUUUCUUCGUUCUUAAGGGUAAUAACAAUAUACUAAUUCAAGGAAACCUUAUUUUUUUGUGAAGUCUCACUAUUAUAUGCUUAUUAUUGCAUAUUAUAAAAAAGUAAUUUAUAUGUAAACUGCGUAAAAAAUUACUUCAUUUUAAUUUUCUGUCUUCUAAAAGGGUAAUAUUAAUGCCACUAAUUCAUUCUUUUUUGGAAAACUUUAUUAUUUUUUAUUUCAGUUUCUUUCAUCUUUAAGGGCAACACCAAUGCCAUCAAAUUCAUUCUUUCUUAGAUUUUUAAUGAAUUUCCACUAUUAUAUGUUUAUUUUUGCAUAUUAUAAAAAACAAAAUAUUAUGUGUAAUUUAUGUGCAAAUUUAGUUAUUUUUAUUUUUUACUUUUGUUUCUUCUUAAAGGGUUAUACCAAUGCACUAGUACAUUAUUUUCAUUCUGAUUAGGUUGUACUAGCAAAUAUGCCCGUGCGUUGCAACGGGAGAAAAACAAUCAGAUUAUGCAGAUUAUGUCAGGAUGAGAUAAGGACUUUUAAAAUGUCAUUUCAUAAACUACCCUGAAUCAUGUAGAGAUAAGGGACUUUUAAAAAGUAAAAGUGUGAUGGUCUCAUCACGACUUGAUUUCCUAAGGCACCACAACGAAAUAUUUUUUGGCUGAGCAAACUGCAUUGAUGGACGCUACCUGUGCUAGACCGAUGAAUGGUGUUUCUCGCCAUGACCAAGCGUCGUGGUGUUUUCCAUGAUCACUAAAACUGUGGUAGCAAAAUAAAGAUAGCUAUGUACGGAGGCCUUCUAAAAAAAGAAGCUAUGUACGGAGGCAAAUUAGACAUUUGGCCAUUUUUAUAUAGCUUACAAAAACUAACCCCAUAGAAAGUUGUGUCAAUUUUUUGGAGGCUCAGUGCUGUACACGGGAAUCUUUUUUCUACCUGAUGCAGGAUAGACUAAAUAAAAUCAUAAAACGACCUCUACAGAUCCCCUAAAAUACCUAUAUGUAAGCGACGGUUUGUUUUGUUCGUUAUGUACAUAUCUGUUUGAAUUUUUGUGAACAUUUUCUUAAUUUUUUUUUUCAAAUUCCCCAAUAUGAUUUGACUACACGAUCAUUUUUCAAAAACUUAUGAACCUUUUUAUUUCCCUAGCAUUUUUUUCAAAAUCAUGAUUUUUUAUAAUAUACGAACAUUUGUUUAAAAUCAUGAACAUUUUAUGGUUUCCCAAGCAUUUUUUAAACUCAUGAACAAUUUAUGAUUUGUCAAUUUUAUUUAAAAACUCAUAAAUUUUUGAAAUUUGAAAUUUCUGGAAAUCCUGAAUUAAUUUAAAGAAGCAAAAAUAAAAACAAAAUGAGCAAAAAAACAAAAAGCAAAAAAAAUAAACAAAAUGAGAAAAAUGGGGCGUGACGCCGCACACAUGAGCCGGCCCAUGAACGCAUCCGACGAGGAGGAGAAAAAGAGCAUACUACUCGGAUCAAACCCUGGUCUCGUGGGUGCAAGGAUGAGUCCUUAACCAUUACGGCAGUCGUGUGCCUGUGAAGUAUUAGGACAUCACAGUAUAAGAACCAAACACCGCGGUGACUUUGAAAAAAACCGAAUCGAUUUCUUCACUUACAAGUGGCAUAGUGGAUAAUUUAUAGCAACUUUGGGAGCAAUUUUUAGACGGACAACCAGAAGCGCUAAUGACUUUAUUAUUAGGUAUAAAUAUAGAUAUAUAGAUAUAGAUAUAAAGGUAGAUAUUAGGUAGGUACAGAUUGUGAUGAUAUGAGAAAAAGGAAACGGAAUUCCAUCGUUCGCUGGUUGGUUGUAUCGUAUCUAUACUAUUAUUAAACAAGGAAACAUUAUCUUUUUUAAGUGUACCUCGUCUAAUGUACACACAACAACCCAAAGUAAUUAGAGCCUCAGGAUUAAAUCCACUUAUUUAGAUCUAACCGUUGAAAUGAUAAUUAACCCUGACCAAAGGUACAUUUAGCGAUUUGCGGGGCGGACGAAAACUCUGCCAACCGCGUCCGCUAAUCCACUAAUCCAUCUCUCCGCUAAUCCCUCCAUGACUUCCGCUCUGCAUCGCACAUAUCCUCCCCCGCCGGCUCCGCAAAGGCCGCCACCCGCUGCCCUCGAAACCCACUUGUUCUCCGAGCGCCGCUGCCCCUCCCGCUGCGUCGAGCUCGCAGGCCACAGCCGUCGCCGCCGCUCAAUCUCUCCUGCGACCAUGGCGCCUCCUGCGGCAUCCCCACCAGUGUCCCCGACCUGGCAGCUUUGUCCGCUCCUACGGUGUCAUCCUAGACGAAGCCGCUGUCAAACGCGUCCGCGCCGUGCGCUGCUGGAGGGAGGGGCCGCAUCAGCUGUCGCUGCCGUGCGCCUGGCCAAGCGCUGCGGCCAGGGAGUGUCGCCGCGCCAUGUGUGACGGCGGGAGAUAAGGUCCGGGCCGUGUCGUUCUUCACUAACGCCGCCAUGCGCCUGACGUGGACGGCCUUGGCCGCCGACGAGAGCCGCGGUCGCCACGGUUAGAGAUGCCAAGGCAAAGCUGCACCCGGACGGGGUUGCUCCUGCAGUGCGGGCCAUGGCCGAGAGCGACUCCAACGAAACCAUGGCCGUCGUCACGAGGGCGAGCGCGCUGCGCCAACGGCUGGUGCCCCAGAAGGCGCCGCCAAAGCGCACGGCAGAGGACGGCGCUGAGCAGCGGGCGGUAUCGUCGGAUCUGGCAGCUGCCGAGAAACCGCGCGACGCACUGAAUCCUGAUUCACACCCACUGUACGCAGCCGGUCGGCUCUCACACAUCCGACUUCCACCGAGAAUACGACAUUCGUGGACGCUGCUCUCACCCUUCACAGGCGUUCGUGGCGUUGUAUAUUUGUGUUUGCAGCUCACUGGCUUGAGAGGGGUAUCCUUGGGAGAGGAUGAGUUGCCCAAGGCAAUGCUUGUUGCAGCAGCAAUUUAUGACUAGAGCCGGGCAGAACAAUCUCUCAAAUGGACCGGGGACCUCUCUUAUUGACAGCAUAGAUUUUGAUCAGAUUGUUAUUCCUGAGGUAUGGCACAUGUGCUUCAUAGUUCUUGAUUGGUUUCGAAAAAGGAAAGAAAAUAUAUCACCAUGGCAGGAAGCUAAUUUCAGGGUUAUCAGUUAGGUCCACUCUUUCCUCCGACAAGAUAGUUCUUGCAUGUGCGCUAAUGUACUGAUGUGUAUAGGAUUUGCAUGCGACAUUCCUGAAGGUAAUAAAAUGUGUACACUUGACCUUCUGCCACAUAGAUUGCAUUUUAAACUGAAUUACCGAGCUACCUGGAUUCAGUAAUUUAGCCGUUUCGUGAUAUUGCAGAUGCUGUGAUACUAUAAAGCAAAUAUAAUUUGAAAUAUUAGUUUGUGAUAGGGAAACUGUCAGGUAAAGUUGUAGUUUUAUUUAACCAGCUUCGGUGGUUGCUUAUUCGUUUCAGUAAUUGGAACUGCUUUUGCUUUGAACAUGCCCUUCAAAAUUCUGAUAUGGUGUGGUGUUCUCAUAAGUGGGCUCAGCACUCUGAUGCCCCUGUUCCUGCAACAAUACAAGGUAAGAACAUCUAAUGUUUACAUUCACACUAAUUUUCACCAGUUAGUAUUUUUUUAUUAAGUUCAUUUUUUAAGGGAUGAUGUGUUUGCUUUCACUUGUGAUAUAACAAAACUAGAUCAAGAGUGAUACCGAAGAAGUGAAGAUGCAAGUAUCUGUUUCCACGAAGAUCACUCCUUUGGACUUAUAUUGCUUUUAGGGAGGGAGUAUAAUUUUACCACACCUUGUACUUGACUUCCAUAAUUUUACCACACCCAACGUCUCUUGAUCACUCAGUUCUAAUUGUGCAAUGUGGAUCUGAAGGUGGGAGUCAGUAAUUACUGUACUCCGAAACACUGGAGCGUGUCAGGAAUGUGUGGUAUAAACAUGAUGGUGUGGUUCCCCCUACAUCAUUGCUUGAAGUCUUAUUUGAGGUUUCAUCAUGUUUUUGUGAUUUAGAAGCUGACCUGCCUGAAAGCCUGAAUUCUUUUCUUUCCAUCUUUAUUUUAUCCGUUCGCAUUUCAGCUUCUGUACGUACAGACUAUGAUAUAGCUUUGUAAGUUAAUCAGGUUACCAACACGUAAGCAUUUGUGAAACCGGAAAAAUACUUUGUAUCGUGAUGAUUAUUAGAUUACUUUUAGCCCUUUUAUUUGAAACCGGAAAAAUACUUUGUAUCAUGAUGAUUAUUGGAUUUCUUUUAGCCCUUUUACCCGAAACUGGAUAAAUACUUUGUAUCGUGAUGAUUAUGGAUUUCAAGUAUCUUUUAGCCCUUUUAUACAUAAUCUUCUAUUUCUGCACAUAUAUAAGUUGAUGUAGCCACAUAUCAUCUGUAUUUUCUAUUAUCCAUAAUAAGAAGCUAUAUAAUGCUAAUCCGAAUUAGUACUAAUAUAUAAUUUUGGUAGUCCACAUAACCAAAAUUAGUACUAAUAUAUAUAUUUUGCUAUGCAAAUGUAGAAUUGGCAUUCGUAGAAUAAAACAAUAGUCAAGAGGUAAGCAUCUUGAACAAAGCAAUUGCACCGUAAGGCAGUUUAUACUUCUUUUUCCUUGGAACACUCGAAGACAAGACUGCACCACACGGAAAUCUGUUGGUGUUCCCGGGAGCGCGCGAUCCUGCACGCGAAAAAAAUAUUUCAAAGUUGAAAAAAUUACAAACAAAAAUUUUGCGCAUACAUCUCGACAUUAUAUGUGUGCACGUCAAGUUUUGGAGAAAAUCGAUAAUUUUUGUGGCUUGUGUGAAAAGACAAAAGGAUAUUUUGUGAAAAGAUUUUUUAACACCGAAUUUUGUCUUUUUCACACACGACACACAAGUUGUUAGUUUUUCGCCGAACGACUUUGUGAGCAUGUACAAUAUCAAGAUAUAUGCGCCAAGUUUUUGUUUGAAUUAUUUUGACAUUUCAAAAUAGGUUUAAAACAUAUUUUUAAAAACAAAAUUGCGUGCUCCCAUGUGCCAAAACGCCACUCUCUUGGAUCAGGCCUAUAUUACUACACUAAUAAAUAAUAAUUCCUGAUUUUAUUUAAGUAAGAAUAUUUUUCCUGCGAUUACUCUACGCAGCUACAUAACUACAAUGUUGUCUCACUUUUGAAAACAGAAUUUGAGUGACAUCAAACAUUGUGUAUUGAUUUGAUUAAAAAAAUUGCAACAUUUAUUUGUAUUUUAUACUAUGUGAAUCUCACCUGUUUUACGAUUGAGACGUGCGUUGCAUGUGCAUACUUACUAGUAUAAAAAAAGGAAGAAACAAACGUUAUGGGGACACGCUGGUUCGUUCGUUUGCUGACCAUAUGUUCGUUUGCAAUCGAUGGACCGGUUGUACUCUCUCCAUUCCAAAAUAUAGUGCAUCCGCACUUUCUGAGGUUCAAUUUUGACUAUAAAUUUAACCAACGAGACCGACCGCAUCGGGAAAAAAAAAUUAUAUAAUUAAAAAUUUCUUUUGAAUACGAAUUCACUGGUAUAAAUUUUGCUCCUGCCGCAGUCGGUCUCGUUGGUUAAAUUCAUGGUCAAAAUUGAAGCAUGGAAAUAAGAAUAGAGGAAGCACUAUAUUUUGGAACGGAGGGUGUGGAAUAAGCAUGAAUGGAUGCAUAGAAAGAGGAGAUUUGCUGCUGCUUGGCGUGGCGUGACUGAACCAACAAACGCAUGCGCGCGCACGAGUAUAUACGAAGUAUAUCGCACCUUGGAGCCGUGAGAAACGAUGAAUUAAUCUUGUCCUUUUCGCAUGGAUUGAAAAUCCACACCAGUUCCCUAUGCCACGAGCGUCCAGUUCCACUGCAGCGCGAGCAUAUACAGAACUCAUCAUCGAGAGAGAAAGCUAGUAGCACACAGGGCAAGCAAGCAAGCUAAACGCACGCAAGCAAGCGGGAGGUCGCUCCUCAACUAGCUUACCAUGGCGAACGCGGCCAAGGCGGCAGCAAUCUUACUUGUUUUUCUGCAGGUGGCGUGCGCCGUCGCCCGGCACCAUGCUGAUCCGCGGGCAUCUUUCGCCUACGUCGAGACUUCAGGGGUGAUGAUGUUGAGUGGGUUCGACCAAGGAGAGGAGCGCGCGCCGGCGUCAUGCAGCGGCACAUACCACACCGACCUGGAAUCCGUGAUCACGGUGUCUAGCAAGAUAUACACGAGCGGGGGCCUGUGCGGCAUCAUGUUCCGCAUCACGGACAUGGAGACCGGGCGCAGCGCCAUGGCAGAGGCCGUGGACGAGUGCCACGACUGCCGCGACGACGAGGUGGGAGCGUCGGCCGGCGUGUGGAAAGAUCUCGGCCUCGACACUACAGGGGCCGGCUUAGUGGACGUCAUGUUGUCCUAUUGAGAGCCUGAGACUGAGAGGUCGGCUGGAUCAGGGUUGCCGACGAGAUAAACUCUUCAUGGUAAAUCAAGUUGGGGUCAUACACGCUACAUGCAUAUGAUGUGUGAGUCAUAUAUAUGUAGGAGGACAUCUGAAUAAAGCAACCUACUCAGAUGUCCUCCUACAUAUAUAGGUGCCACCAACCGGGACCAAAGGCCGCCGCUUCCCGCCCUUUGGGCUGCUGAAAAUUGGCAUUUGGUCCCUGUUGGUGCCACCAACCGGGACCAAAGGGGGGCAUUGGUCACGGUCCGUGCCACGAACCGGGACCAUUGCUCUGGGUAUAUAAGGUAGCACUUGUGAAAAUUUCGCCAACCGCUCCCAUUCUCCCCCGACGCCCCCAGGCCGUUCGUCGUCGUCGUCGCCGCCUCGAGCCCGUCGUCGCCCGCUCCCCGUCGCCGACACCCCGCGCCGCCGCAGGCCUUGUCCCCGUCGUUGCUUGCGCCGUCGCCGGCCUCCUCCUCGUCACUGCAUGCGCCAUCUCCGGCCCCCUCCCCGUCGCCCCGCGCCGCGUCGCUGGCCUCCUCCCCGUCCCCGGCCUCCUCCCUGUCGCGCCCCCAGUGAGCUCCCCCCUUCCCAUCGAUCCCUGUCGCUCUGACCAUCGCCGCCGAGAGGCUCAUAUGUAUGGCUAUGUAUGUAUGUAUGUAUGGCUAUGUAUGUAUGUAUAUGCUCAUAUGUAUGUAUGUAUGUAUGUAUGUAUGUAUGUAUGUAUGUAUGUAUGUAUAUGCUCACUGUAUAUGGAUUUGGCUAUGUAUAUGCUCUCUGUAUAUGCUCAUAUGUAUGUAUGUUCAUAUAGCAUUUUUUCUAUAUAUGAAUUAUUAUUUUGUUCAUGGAUAUAUGCUAAAGAAAAUGAGGGGGGUGAUAGAUGAUGAUGAGUCGAGAGUGGGACGAGAGGUCGAGAGGUGGCGAGGGGAGAAAAAAAUGUUAUCAGGGACGAGGGUCGUCGAGGGGUCGAGAGAGGGACGAGGGGUCGAGAGAACUAAAUAAGAAGAAGAAGAGGAGAGGAAGAAGAGGAGAAAUAAAUAAGAAGAAGAAAAAAGAAGAGGAGAGGAAGAAAGGAAUAGUGGAGAAGAAGAGAAAAUAGAAUAUAUUCUAUUUUUUUUCUUCUUCUCCACUAUUUCUUUCUUCUUCUCCUCUUUUUUUCUUCUUUUUUUUCUUCGAUCUUCUCCUCUAGCUAUUCCUUUCUUCUUCUCCUCUUUUUUCUUCUUCUUCUUCUUCUUCUUCUUCUUCUUCUUCUUCUUCUUCUUCUUCUUCUUCUUCUUCUUCUUCUUCUUCUUCUUCUUCUUAAUUUUUAUCGGGAACGAGGGUGUCNNNNNNNNNNNNNNNNNNNNNNNNNNNNNNNNNNNNNNNNNNNNNNNNNNNNNNNNNNNNNNNNNNNNNNNNNNNNNNNNNNNNNNNNNNNNNNNNNNNNNNNNNNNNNNNNNNNNNNNNNNNNNNNNNNNNNNNNNNNNNNNNNNNNNNNNNNNNNNNNNNNNNNNNNNNNNNNNNNNNNNNNNNNNNNNNNNNNNNNNNNNNNNNNNNNNNNNNNNNNNNNNNNNNNNNNNNNNNNNNNNNNNNNNNNNNNNNNNNNNNNNNNNNNNNNNNNNNNNNNNNNNNNNNNNNNNNNNNNNNNNNNNNNNNNNNNNNNNNNNNNNNNNNNNNNNNNNNNNNNNNNNNNNNNNNNNNNNNNNNNNNNNNNNNNNNNNNNNNNNNNNNGCCGAGGGGUCGAGGGUCGGGAACUAGGGUAGAGGGUCGAGGGUCGUUAAGGGGUCAAGGGUCGAGGGUUUCAGGGUCGAGGGUUCGAGGGUUCUAUAGGGUCGAGGGUCAAGGGUUCCAGGGUCGUCUAGGGGUCGAGGGUUCCAGGGUCGUCGAGGGUUCGAGGGGUCGAGGAUCGCCGAGGGGUCGAGAGAGGUUUCCUAGUGUCAAAGUAUUGAAGAAAUCCAUGGCUUCAUCAUUAGCCAGAAGUAACCAGGGCAUGACGAAGUCCUCCAAAAUUAUUUUGGAAUGGUGUCCCGGAUAGGAUAAUUUGCCUUUUUGUAUGAAUUUCAGCAAAGGCCUUCCAAAUAAUGAUAUUUGGAAGGUUCUUGCUAAACUUUGUACCAAAAAGCGAAUUAUCCUAUCUAGGACUCCGUUCCAAAAUAACUUUGGAGAGCUUCGUACCAUCAUGCACAUGUUACUUUCGCCUAAUGAUGAAGACAUGAUUUUGUUGAAUCCUUUGACACUACGCAACCUCCCGACCCCUCGGCGAUCCUCUCGAACAUGAGAGGAAGAAGAGGAUCGCCGAGGGGUCGAGGGUUCCAGGGUCGUCGAGGGUUCGAGGGGUCGAGGAUCACCGAGGGGUCAAGAGAGGUUUCCUAGUGUCAAAGUAUUGAAGAAAUCCAUGGCUUCAUCAUUAGCCAGAAGUAACCAGGGCAUGACGAAGUCCUCCAAAAUUAUUUUGGAAUGGUGUCCCGGAUAGGAUAAUUUGCCUUCUUGUAUGAAUUUCAGCAAAGGCCUUCCAAAUAACGAUAUUUGGAAGGUUCUUGCUGAACUUUGUACCAAAAAGCGAAUUAUCCUAUCUAGGACUCCGUUCCAAAAUAACUUUGUAGAGCUUCGUACCAUCAUGAACAUGUUACUUUCGCCUAAUGAUGAAGACAUGGUUUUGUUGAAUCCUUUGACACUAGGCAACCUCCCGACCCCUCGGCGAUGCUCUCGAACAUGAGAGGAAGAAGAGGAUAAAAAAAGAAGAGGAAGAAGAAAAAAAAGAGGAGAAGAAAGAAUAGAGGAGUUCUUCUCCUCUAUUCUUUCUUCUCCUUUUUUUUCUACUCCUCUAUUCUUUCUUCUCCUCUUUUUUUUCUUCUUCUUCCUCUUUUUUUAUUGGGAACGAGGGUCGUCGAGGGACAUAGAUGUAGUGUCGUUGUUGUCGAUAUAUACCCCCUCCCGAUAGCUUACUAUGAUUAGGUAGCUAGUUCUACGUUUGGCACUAAUAUAUCCAUCUGUCAUGUUUGAAUAGUAAUUGCCAUGUUGUAAAUAUUUGUAGAAACUAUGGACAGCGCCCUAGACGAAGCAAAAGAAGCGUUGUUGAGGGACAUAAUCGCAGAAGGAAGUGAUGCCGUCUCGUUGUUUCUCAACGAAACCGAUGGUCUGG